CUAGAAUUCCCUUGUGAAGAUAGGAUUAACUCUCUCCUUGUCUAUUUUUAGCUAAUCAAAUCAAGAACUUAAAGUAGGCCUACUUACCAAUAAGUAUGAGAGUUCAUGAGUCACUUAGUAGAAUAAGCUCACACCUUUAAAGGCCACUUGGGUAGUGCUAGGCAACUUGAAAGACUGCCAUUGGUUUCUGUGAAGAAGGAGGAGUGACAGGAAGUGAUAUGGAAAAGAGGAAAAUAAAAGAAGAGACCAGCAUGAUCUAGAGGAUUUUCCUUCCUAGCUUCUGAGGAAACUGGCUCUGGAGAUUCAUUCCCUUCCUGGAAUUUGGACAAUGAAAUGAAGCUCUGAUGCCUAGUGGGUUGUUUUUGUCUCUCUCCUGAAUUAUCUGACUAAGACGAAAGAAAACCUUCACUUGAGCUGGGUAAGAAAUUUGCUGCCUCCUGGAAUCCAGAGACUGAACUACUUGAGGAAGAUGCCAUGGAGAUGACCGAGAAGACCGCACACUGCUCCAGAAAAUCCUGAGCAAACCAGAUGUACAGAAUUUAACAUUGAGGGGUUAAAUUAAUUUGUUUUGUUA
rnacentral:lncRNA from 1 species